AAGUUGCAUCAGUACAGCGACACCGUUUCGCAACCAAUGACGGUGCCUGCUGGCGAUGACAACGAGA
rnacentral:snoRNA from 1 species